AUUGAACGCUGGCGGCGUGCUAUACACAUGCAAGUCGGACGAGUGGCGAACGGGUGAGUAACGCAUCGGAACGUACCGAGUUAUUGGGGAUAACUUUCCGUAAGGACCGCUAAUCCCGCAUAUUAUUCGAGCGGCCGCUGUCUGAUUAGCUGGGUGGCGGGGUAAAGACCCGCCAAGGCGACGAUCAGUAGCGGGUCUGAGAGGAUGAUCCGCCACACUGGGACUGAGCCACGGCCCAGACUCCUACGGGAGGCAGCAGUGGGGAAUUUUGGACAAGGGGCGCAAGCCUGACCCAGCCAUGCCGCGUGUCUGAAGAAGGCCUUCGGGUUGUAAAGGACUUUUGUCAGGGAAGCGGUACCUGAAGAAUAAGCACCGGCUAACUACGUGCCAGCAGCCGCGGUAAUUC
rnacentral:rRNA from 1 species